ensembl:misc_RNA Y_RNA Y RNA
GGUUGGUCCGAGUGCAGUGGUGUUUACACAUAAUUGAUCAUAACCAGUUACAGAUUCCUUUGUUCCUUCUCCACUCCCACUCCUUCACUUGACCAGCCUUUA